rnacentral:misc_RNA from 1 species
AACGCACCUUGCGCUCUCUGGUAUUCCGGAGAGCAUGUCUGUUUGAGUGUCAUGAACUCUUCAACCCACCAGUUUCUUGUAGACUGAUUGGUGUUUGGUUUCUGAGCGUUGCUGGUCUUCGGAUCUAGCUCGUUCGUAAUAUAUUAGCAUCUCUAAUUCGAACUCGGAUUGACUCAGUGUAAUAGACUAUUCGCUGAGGACACGCUCUUGUAGUGUGGCCGAAUGAGAUCUCAGUAGAAGCUUCCAACUACUUUAGUCAACUUUAGAUUAGACCUCAGAUCAGGCAGGAUUACCCGCUGAACUUAA